rnacentral:rRNA from 1 species
UACGUAGGGGGCUAGCGUUGUCCGGAAUCAUUGGGCGUAAAGCGCGUGUAGGCGGUCCGGUAAGUCCGCUGUGAAAGUCGGGGGCUCAACCCUCGGAUGCCGGUGGAUACUGUCGGGCUUGAGUACGGAAGAGGCGAGUGGAAUUCCUGAUGUAGCGGUGAAAUGCGCAGAUAUCAGGAGGAACACCAAUUGCGAAGGCAGCUCGCUGGGACGUUACUGACGCUGAGACGCGAAAGCGUGGGGAGCGAACAGG